rnacentral:lncRNA from 1 species
CUGUCUUUUCUAGAGCCGCACCCACAGCAUAUGGAGGUUCCAGACUAGGGGUCCAAUCGGAGCUGUAGCCGCCGGCCUACGCCAGAGCCACAGCAACAUGGGAUCCAAGCCGCGUCUGCAACCUACACCACAGCUCACAGCAACGCCGGAUCGUUAACCCACUGAGCAAGGCCAGGGACUGAACCUGCAACCUCAUGGUUCCUAGUCAGAUUCAUUAACCACUGAGCCACGACGGGAACUCCCUAAAUUCUCUUUUUGAAAGUGUAUAUCUCAAUCGCAUUGCAUAUCCCUCGUUCAUUCACUCAGCCACUCCUCCCUGACCAUUUUAUACCCGCUUUUACCUGGAAACCCCAAUGUCUCCUUCACUAUUUUCAUUCACAACUGAUGACUCUUGUUUCCUGCUUCACUGUAAAGUCAAAUCCAUCAGGGGGUCUUCUUCCAAGUACAUGCAGCUGUUGGCAGAAUCUAUUUGCUUUCAGCUGUAAAACGCUCGUCAGCUUGGCCCUUCAAGGCCGGCAAGAGGGUGUUUCUAUCUUCUAGACUCUUUCUCAUUCCAUCUGUCUCACUCAGGAUGAUCUCCCUUUGAUUAACCCAAAGUCAACUGAUAAGGGACCCACAAGUACAUUUACAAAAUCCCCUCACCUUUGCCAAAUAAAGCAACCAAGUUGUGGAGUGAAAUCCCAUCACUUUCAUAGGUUCUGCUCACACUCAAGGCGAGGUGUCUAUGCAGGGAGUAUACAGCAGGCAGCAGGGAUUUUGAGGGCCAUCCUAGAAUUCUGCUUACCUCACUAAACAAUUCAACAGAUUAGAAUAAUGGCCUCUCCUUGUCCUAAGCAAAUAAGAAAAACAAAAAUUGAUAGUGGUGCUCCUGUAUCCAUGGGGGAUGUGUUCCAAGACCCCCAGUGAAUUCCGGAAGCUGCAGAUAGUACCAGACCCUUUAUACACUAUGUUUUUUCCUAUACAUAUACACCUAUGAUAAGGUUCAAUGUAUAAAUUAGGUACAGCAAGAGAUUAAAGAAAUAAUAACUACUAAUAAAAUAGAGCAAUUAUCACAAUGUACAGUUGGCCCUUAAACAAUGUGGGUUUGAACUGUACGGCCCACUGAUAUGUCGAUAUUUUUCAACAGUAAAUACUACAUGGUCUGUGUCUGGUUGAAUUUGUGGGUGCAGAGGAACCUUGGAUAUGAAGAGCUAACUAUAAAUUACAUGCAAAUUAAUGCCCAUGUCUUUCAAGAGUCAGUUGUACUGUAAUAAAAAUUGUGUGACUGCGAUCUUUCUCAAAAUAUUUUAUUGUACCACAGUCACCCUUGUUGUGCUGAUAUGAGAUGACAAAAUAUCUACGUGAUGAGAUAAGUGAGUGACAGAGGAAUCGUGAUGCAGAGCUAGGCUACUACUGACCUUCUGAUAAUGGGUCAAAAGGAGAAUCAUCUGCCUCGGGUAACCCUGGACCAUUGAGGUGGGUGUUGAUGGUUGGACGUCAGAAGCAGACGAUGUUGAUGGUUGGGGAUCCCAGGUGGGAGGAAGCAGAAAGGAGCAUGAUUUCACAUGCUACUCACAACGAUGCACAACUUAAAGUUUAUGAAUUGUUUGUUUCCAGAAUUUUCCAUUUAAUAUUAUUGGACCAUGGUUGACUCUUCUAACUGAAACCAUGGGACGUGAAACCAUGGAUAAGGAUGGACUACCGUAUUUAAACAAAAAAUGGUCUUUGGAUCUAUUCCUGCCACAGAGAUUCAAAAAUUCUUGGAAGUUACUAAAGAGCAGAAAUGCCUUUGUUAAGCUAGUGAGGUGACUCUGAGUAGGACCCCCUAGAAAGACUCUGGAGUAUAUUAGGGGAUGGGAAUUGAGUUUAAUCAGUCAUGAUUAGUAAUUAAAUCAACUGUGCCUAUGCACUAAAACCAGAUAGAAACUCUCGCACAGUGAGGUUAGAGAAGUUCCCGUGCUGGUGACCAUACACUGACGUGCUGGGAGAGUGGCAUUUCCUAAGAGGGGCCACACCUCCUCACACUUUGCCUUCAGUGUUUCUUUCCUUUGUUUUGGCUCUUGCUGAGUUACAUCUGCUAUAACAAAACUAUGAUUUUAAGUAUAGCACUUUCCUGAGUAUUGUGAGUCAUUCUAGUGAAUUAUCAAGUCUGAGAGAGGGUUCUGGGAACCCCCAAAUGUGUAAUCAACUAAACAAAAUCGUGGGUGCCUUGGGGGCACCUGGGGCUUGCAGGUGGAAUCUAAAAUGGGUCUGUCCAGUGGUACAGACCCCCUUAGCCUGGAGGGUCUGCACUACUUCAGGCAGUUAUUGUCAGGACUGAAUUGAAUCAUAUGACACCAAGUUGGUGUCCAAGAAUUAAUGAUGGAAAAACAAAAGAAAUAGAUUCAGAUAGCUAAUUAACUUUUAACUAUCACCUACAAUUAGAGUUUCAGAAUUAUCUGGAAGUAAUAAUAAAGACAAUGAAACAAAGAGACAAUAAAUUCCAGCAAGAUAUAUAUAAAGGUACGCUGAGAAAAGGCCAUCAAAAUCUAGAAGAAGAAUCACAAACUGAACCAACACCACUUAUUCCCUUAGUUGCAAAGGAUAACGUUUCUUACUAGAUUUCCCAUGAGAAGCAUUUUCCUUUUUCAGUUUGUUGUAUACAGUUGUGCCUGAUUUAGCUGGACAGCAACAUGGCACCAUUUCUGAUUUUAGCACAUGAGUCCUGCUGCUCUCAGAAUCAUUUCAUAAUUUUCACAAAGCCAUGAAUUUGAGAGUCCCCUCCAAGCGGGUAUCAAACAGAAGUGAAUGAAGAAAGGGAGUGGCUACUAUAGAAGUCUCUUAUCCUUGAGCCAAGAAAAGUGAGCAUUUGAGGGAAGGUGUGAUCAAAAUUGCCAAAACUUUAAGGAGGCAAAGCGAAGAACCACUGAUUGAUUAUUACAAAGCCCUUUUCAGGGGGCAUUUUAUCAGGGCUUGUCUUCAAAUGGAAAUCGAGACAGUCACACUAUUUCAGGAGCUGUGGGCUCACUGCAGAGUGUGCAGAACUAGUUAUGCCCUUCAGUGGCCUGGCUGACUGCUUCUAAUAUUUACUCUUAAGCAGAUUUCCCACGUGUAUCCCACCAGAAGCCCCCCAUACUCUUCUCAAGAGCUCACUGGGCUAUUUUCCAACAAAGGAAACACAGAUGGAACAAAAGGAGUUUCUGAUUAGCUACAUCUAUUGAACAGCCUAAAGAGCAGGAGAUCUGAAAUUCGCAGGCAGUCAGAGAUACUGGCUGUUAAUACGGCCUCUUGUUUCAGGUUCGGCUUCCCCAGGAUGGGGAAGUUGCAGAGGCGAAAGUCAUCAAGUGGCUCCCAGGUGAGGGGACAAAAGAACAGGAGCAACCCUGUGUAGCAUAACUGUCUCAUAACAUAAAACUGAUAUCUUUGACCUUCCUAGUUGGGUUCUAUAACCUCAGGUCCACUAGAUUAGAAAACAGAAGUUAAUAAUUCCGGGGCUCGACUCGACUAUGCUGUGUCACUUUGAACAAGAUACUUGACUUUUGGCUGCACAUUUUUGCUCCUCUAUAAAACGAUAAUAAUAACAUUUUGCCACCUACCUCUUAGCAAGUUUGUUAUUUCUGAUAGAUAGAUAGAUAGAUUUUGCAUUUCCACAGUGUGCUGGUGAGUGUACAGCACUGUUCUCCAGAGUUUCAGGUCACGAGGCACAAGCAUCGCAGUUUUUGUACGGCUGUCCACAUCCACAGAGCUCAUAUUCCUAGAGCCGCUGUUGCCACUUAACAGCUCUGUCUACAUCACACACAGCAGCACUGGCUAACAGUUAGUGACACACCGUAUGUUCUUUUUUAGUUUUUCAUACUGAACAGUUAAAAACCUACUCCCAGAAAGUGGCUGAAAGAGAAAUUUCUGUCCCUUGUGUGGCCUGGGUGAGCAUUCUUGUCUUGGUCUGCUCAGGCUGCCAUGACAAAAUACCAUAGGCUGGGGGGCUUGCAGAACAGAGAGGUUGAUUUUCUCACAGUUCUGGAGGCUGGAAGUCCAAGAUCCAGCCGACUCAGUUUCUGAGAGAACUCUCUCCCGGGCUUGCAGCCUCUGUUAUGUCCUCACACAGCCAUUCCAAGGGUGUGCUCUCGGGCAGAGCGACAGAGGAAGCGCUCCGGUACUUCUUCUUCUAAGGACACAAAUCCUACUGGAUCAAGGUUAGAACCUCAUUUACCUUUAAUUACCUCCUAAAAGUUCCAUCUCCAGAUUCAGUCACCUGGGGGUUUGGGGCCUCAAUAUAGGGAUUGUGGGGGGAAACACAAUUCAGACGACAGCCAUCCUGCAGGAAGCAUGCUCGUGGGAGGUUUGGACCAAGAACCAUCUUGGUGACGUGGAGGGUGGGAGGCUGGGCCAGUGCGUCCAACACCAUGAGAAAUGGGACCGACUAAACCAAAGGCUCUCAAACUUUUAGAGAAGUAGACUCUUACCUUCAAAUUACGUUUGACAAGGGAGCCCAGUAUGCGAAUAGCUAAAAAUGGAGUUGUUCUCUUUAAGGCUGAGAGGCUCUUCACUCCUCUCCAGAACUUCCACUCCACACCAGCUCUUCAAAGAGGACCAUGAAAGGUUCAUCAGAGCACUUUAUGGAAAAUAGCCCUGCCUAUUGUAAUCAUACAUCACAUUUUCCAGCACCAACCAAGCACUCCAUCUCUUUUCAAUUUUUUUCUGGGAAAACACUUAGGUUUAACUAAGAGUAGACUCUUACUUGUCUUUUCGUGUGUCUAUAUCCCUUUUCUCUCAAACGUGUUGUGCUCUCUUGCUGGGCAGAUGAUAUACCUCAGAUCUCUUUGAUCUUCAAAAUCAUACCCAAUGUUUUACACCCCAAAUACUGGAGUUUGAAAUUUUUUGAUGGAUAAUGGAUUUCCACCGGGUCAUAUAUUAGUACAGACUCAUAGAAUCUUAGAAAAGGACAAGAUCUUGGAUAUCACCUCGUUAAAUUCACUUAUUUUACAGAGCAGACUAAGGCCAAGGUUCUCUCUUAGCCAGUCAGUGUCUGAACGGUGAAGAGGGUCAACAUCCCUGCGUCCCCAGAACAGCGGUCCUUUCGUCAGGCCUGUGCACGCUCAGAAUUGAUUACGUGCAACUCCUAGUGUUGAACAGAGACUCGUGUUUGGGAAAUUUUGUGCAUUAAAUUUUACUGGAAGUCCAGAACCUCAGCAAAUUCAAAGUAAACCAGGGAUGCUCAGCCAGUGAUUUUCAUUAAACAUCUGACAUUUAUCUUAUAG